GACGAACGCUGGCGGCGUGCUUAACACAUGCAAGUCGAGCGGUAAGGCCCUUUCGGGGGUACACGAGCGGCGAACGGGUGAGUAACACGUGGGUGACCUGCCCUCAGCUCUGGGAUAAGCCUGGGAAACUGGGUCUAAGUACUGGAUAUGACUCCACGGUGCAUGUCGUGGGGUGGAAAGCCUUGUGCGGCUGAGGAUGGGCCCGCGGCCUAUCAGCUUGUUGGGGGGUGAUGGCCUACCAAGGCGACGACGGGUAGCCGGCCUGAGAGGGCGACCGGCCACACUGGGACUGAGACACGGCCCAGACUCCUACGGGAGGCAGCAGUGGGGAAUCUUGCGCAAUGGGCGAAAGCCUGACGCAGCGACGCCGCGUGAGGGAUGACGG
rnacentral:rRNA from 1 species